CCUACGGGUGGCAGCAGUGGGGAAUAUUGGACAAUGGGCGAAAGCCUGAUCCAGCCAUGCCGCGUGUGUGAAGAAGGCCUUCGGGUUGUAAAGCACUUUCAGUGGGGAAGAAAGCCUUGGGGCUAAUACCCUCGAGGAAGGACAUCACCCACAGAAGAAGCACCGGCUAACUCCGUGCCAGCAGCCGCAGUAAUACGGAGGGUGCGAGCGUUAAUCGGAAUUACUGGGCGUAAAGCGCGCGUAGGCGGUCUGAUAAGCCGGUUGUGAAAGCCCCGGGCUCAACCUGGGAACGGCAUCCGGAACUGUCAGGCUAGAGUGCAGGAGAGGAAGGUAGAAUUCCCGGUGUAGCGGUGAAAUGCGUAGAGAUCGGGAGGAAUACCAGUGGCGAAGGCGGCCUUCUGGACUGACACUGACGCUGAGGUGCGAAAGCGUGGGUAGCAAACAGGAUUAGAUACCCCAGUAGUC
rnacentral:rRNA from 1 species